UACGGGCAGAUCUGGUGCUGGUAACAACUAGGCCAAGGGACCCUACACCGAGGGCGCCGGCAAGGCCGGUAAUGUCAAGAGGUGGUUUUGCUCAAUAUGAAAUAAUGCAGGUUUUGUUCUCACUGCCUGUACAUCAGAGAUCAGAGGAAGACUGUAUCUUUAUUUAAGGCCAUGCCUAGGCUAAUCUUGGAUUUAUUUUCACUAACACAUUGAUUUUACUAUGCCUAAUCCUUGCUCUCUCUUAUGAUGCAGAGAGACAUUAGCAUAUUCUAUAUGGCACCUUAAGGUUUAAUUAUUUUCAUGAGAAAAACAUUCAUAUAUCUGUAAAUAUAGUGACUUAGUGAGUGUAUCACUUAGUUGCCAAGACAUGAACAAGCAAGCUAACAGUAGAAUAUGCUGCACAAAUUAGAUUACCUCAUCUUUCUAUUCUGUUUGUUGUCAGUCUUUCCCUUUCACAUUAAUGGACAAGAGGAAGAAACCAAAAUUGGGAGUAUUUUUUAUGUUUACAUUGGUCCCUGUAUCUGGUAAAAAAAUGAUGUCUUUUGGGAGUUCAUGAUCAGGGAUGUUCCUUCUCUACAACUGUGCUACUUUCCAGACAGUAAUGAAAAUUGAGGGCACUUUCCAGACAGUAAACUAAAAUUUCUAAUUUCAAGUAUAUUUGAAGAGGCAAGCAUGUUUGUAAGAAAUGGUUUGAAUGUGUUAGUAUCAAUUCACCUUUUCUUUUAGAUAAUGGAGUAUCAAUUCAGUUUAUGAGCAUGUUUCCUGUCGUUGGAACCACAGUAAAGUUCAGAUUAGCUCCUUAGUUUUUAAUGAAAUUAAAUUUCAACGCACUCAUCUUCUGUUAUAUGCAUUGGUAUAUAUGAUAUUAAUUGCUCUGAUUUUCUUGAUUUUUGCAGCUCCAUGGAGGAAAAUCAUAGGAAUUUAUCAUCAACAUCAUAGCUCUUAUCUAUGGCCUCUUCUACCAUUCAUGCUAAGUUUUUUCUUGCUAAAACAUUCUUCUGUUCUUACUGCAACAUCACUUAUUGCUGAUUUUUGAACAUACAGUAGUAGUAAGUUUUAUAUGCUGCUAUUUUGAAUAAGUUUUGUUAGUCAAGUUAGGCAAGAUAGCCCUAUUGCAUGGCCUGCAACUUAAAUUAGUUUAGUGAAGCCUGUUAAUCCAUCAUUCCAUUCUAAUAUAACAUCAAACCUAAACUUUAACUUAAUAUAUAGAAAACUGAGAUAACCAACUGCAACAUGUGUUUACUAUUUCAAGUUUGUGCUCAAUAUGUAACAAUAUUCAUUAGCUCACAUUUUUUUAUUUUGCAUAUAUUUCACACAUUGCAGGUCUGUGGGAAUGCAUCUUACAAGACCAUGACAAUAUAUGUUAGCAUGCAUUUAGAAGGAACAAGAGCUAUGGCAGUUGUGCACCUAUUUUUCUUUUUUGUUGUUUUGAUCAGUGAGUGUACUGUUACUUGUGAGACUUGACUUUAAUUUAGAAUAUUCUUUGUUGUAUUGUAUGUUGAUAUAUAUUGAUGUAUGCUAUAUAUCUUGGGCCUAUCUAGUCUUGUCAAAUUGGUUUGGCCUACUUGUUAAAUGGAUAUAAUAUAAAUGGGCUGAAAAUAG
rnacentral:lncRNA from 1 species